CUCUUCGGGGUUAGUGGCGGACGGGUGAGUAACACGUGGGAACGUGCCUUUAGGUUCGGAACAACACAGGGAAACUUGUGCUAAUACCGAAUGUGCCCUUCGGGGGAAAGAUUUAUCGCCUUUAGAGCGGCCCGCGUCUGAUUAGCUUGUUGGUGGGGUAAAGGCUCACCAAGGCUACGAUCAGUAGCUGGUCUGAGAGGAUGGCCAGCCACAUUGGGACUGAGACACGGCCCAAACUCC
rnacentral:rRNA from 1 species